UACGGGGGGGGCAAGCGUUGUUCGGAAUUACUGGGCGUAAAGGGCUCGUAGGUGGCCAACUAAGUCGGACGUGAAAUCCCUCGGCUUAACCGGGGAACUGCGUCCGAUACUGGAUGGCUUGAGUUUGGGAGAGGGAUGCGGAAUUCCAGGUGUAGCGGUGAAAUGCGUAGAUAUCUGGAGGAACACCGGUGGCGGAGGCGGCAUCCUGGACCAACACUGACACUGAGGAGCGAAAGCCAGGGGAGCAAACGGG
rnacentral:rRNA from 1 species